UUAAUUUGACUAAACACAGGAAAACUUAUCAGGUUCAAACAUAGUAAUGAUUGACAGACUGAGAGCUCUUUCUUGAUUCUAUGGGUGGUGGUGCAUGACCGUUCUUAGUUGGUGGAACGAUUUGUCUGAUUAAUUUCGUUAACGAACAAGACCUCAGCCUGCUAACUAGCUAUGCGGAGGUAUCCCUUCUUUAGAUUAUUCCAAUGUGAUGUAUAACAACAUCGUCAAUCUCUCUAUUUUCCUUUGAUUAUAGACUAAGAUACUUGAAAUUCUCUUGAAGAUGACUUGAGUA
rnacentral:ncRNA from 1 species